rnacentral:rRNA from 1 species
AUACGGAGGGUGCAAGCGUUAUCCGGAAUUAUUGGGUUUAAAGGGUCCGUAGGCGGCUAGAUAAGUCAGUGGUGAAAUUCUCUCGCUCAACGAGAGACCUGCCAUUGAUACUGUCUUGGCUAGAGUUACAGUGAGGUGAGUGGAAUGUGUGGUGUAGCGGUGAAAUGCAUAGAUAUCACACAGAACACCGAUUGCGAAGGCAGCUCACUAACUGUAUACUGACGCUGAUGGACGAAAGCGUGGGGAGCAAACAGGAUUAGAAACCCCGGUAGUCC